UGACGCAGCAACGCGUGUGAGGGAUGAAGGCUUUCGGGUCGUAAACCUCUGUCGGAAGGGAAGGAACGGGCAUUGGUCUAAUAGGCCUUUGUUUUGACGGUACCUUUAGAGGAAGCACCGGCUAACUCCGUGCCAGCAGCCGCGGUAAUACGGAGGGUGCAAGCGUUAUUCGGAAUUACUGGGCGUAAAGCGCACGUAGGCGGCCUUGUAAGUCAGGGGUGAAAUCCCACGGCUCAACCGUGGAACUGCCUUUGAAACUGCAGGGCUUGAAUCCUGGAGAGGGUGGCGGAAUUCCUGGUGUAGGAGUGAAAUCCGUAGAUAUCAGGAGGAACACCGGUGGCGAAGGCGGCCACCUGGACAGGUAUUGACGCUGAGGUGCGAAAGUGUGGGGAGCAAACAGGAUUAGAUACCCUGGUAGUCCACACCGUAAACGAUGGAUACUAGGUGUCGGGGACUUUAUCUUCGGUGCCCUACGUAACGCGUUAAGUAUCCCGCCUGGGGAGUACGGUCCAAGGCUGAAACUCAAAGAAA
rnacentral:rRNA from 1 species